rnacentral:siRNA from 1 species
GAGAAAGUUUUAGUGUGGUCCUA